AGCAUAGCAACAGCAGCGUAGCUGAACAUCUUACGGAUGGCCCAGGGCUCCAAAGGCUCGUUUCCUAAGUGAGAGAGAGCCUGGCUGAAGCUGUAUUACCAUUCAUUCUCCAGCCUCCGAAGUCUCAAAGCAUCACUUCCACCAUACUCUAACUGUCAAGACAAACACAAAGGCCCAGAAACUGCCAGACUGUCUUCUGAAGUGGCUAUAAUAUUUACACUCCCAUCAGCAGUGUAGAAGGGGUCUCACUAUGUUGUCUGGAGUGCUGUGGUGGAGUGGAGUGGCUAUUCACAGCUGAGUUUGCAGAGUAAACCACUACCCUGAAAUCUGGAAAGGCAGGUGCACCCACAGAUCCUCAGCUGAGAUCCAAUUACCUGAAAUAGAAGCUGCCAUUAGGAACACUUAAAAGAGCCUGUUCUGCUGGGACACAGAAUCACUUGCUCCAUCUCAUACAUUGAUGAUGAUUAAUUUGUAUGUGUACCUUCCAAAAAAGAUGGUUGUGUUUGAAUGGAGGCCUUCUGGACAGGAAAAUAAUCACAUCCUUCCUGAGAUAAUGAGCACACAAUUGCCUGGAUACCUGAAGGAAUGGAGACAGCGGCAGAAAACACUGCAGAGAGGUGGAAACAUCCGUUAAUAUUUUAAAAUCCCAUUACUGCUACCAACAAUAAUAAUGGAUGCAUAGAAAUAGAUCUGGAUUAGCUGAGCUUGAAACAGUCCAUCUCACACACACACAAAAGAAUUUCAGAUACAGUGAACCCACAUGUUGAAGCUUUCUAGUAUAAUAAAAAUUUCAACUGUUCUGUUGAAUCAUCUGCCUGAUUGGAGGCUACAGAAAAGAUGUCAUCUUAGGAGUGCUUGCUCUGAGUGAGGCUCAUCUUCAAAUCUGAAUGACCACAAGGAGAUUUGAUUAUACAUGUGAACACCUCAGAAGGCACAGCCCACCCAGAAGGCAGACAGGUCAGGCUGCUUUUUCUUCAUUGCUUGGAUUCAAUCCUCCGGGCGGCUCAGGCUCAAACAUAACUUAAGCAUGAUUAAACUUUAGAAGAAGCUGCCAGGAAGACUGUGAAAUCUUCAUGCCCAAGGAUCCCUAAAAUUAGGAGCAACAACCACUUGGCUCAGACGGUUUAUGGAGGCAAAGGUUUGGAUGGGAUUAGAGAUUUCUAAAUGUGAGUUCGUGUCCUCUGCCAGACCACCUUACUUCCACCAUUCCUCAGCAAAUCAAGAAAAACAGGAGAAAAGACAUGCCUUUCCAUAAGUUAAAUCUAUUCUGUUUUAAUUCUAUAUUAUAUCUGCUGUACAACUUCUUUUGUUUGUAACACCAUAUUGUUGCUAGUAACUGGAAAUUAAUUUUCACAUGCCUCAGCUUAGAAAAAUAAAAAGCAGCCCUGCAUCAAUCCCAA
rnacentral:lncRNA from 1 species